rnacentral:rRNA from 1 species
GUGCCAGCCGCCGCGGUAAUACCGGCAGCCCGAGUGAUGACCGAUCUUAUUGGGCCUAAAGCGUCCGUAGCUGGCUGCGCAAGUCCGUCGGGAAAUCCACUCGCCCAACGAGUGGGCGUCCGACGGAAACUGCACAGCUUGGGACCGGAAGGCUCGAAGGGUACGUGCGGGGUAGGAGUGAAAUCCCAUAAUCCCGCACGGACCACCGAUGGCGAAAGCACUUCGAGAAAACGGAUCCGACAGUGAGGGACGAAAGCCAGGGUCUCCAACCGGAUUAGAAACCCGAGUAGUCC